UAUUGAGACUUCAUUCAAAGGUAAAUAGUCAUAUUUCUCUGCACAAUUUAACAUCCUCUAUCUUCCAAAGAAUUAAAAAAUGCGCUCGGCUCGAUCCGAAAACGCUUAGCCCUUGGAUUAGACCAAAUUAAUUACGAAAUGCUCGACAAACUUCCCAUGGAUCACAAGGCCUAUUUAUUGACAUUAUAUAAUGUCAAUAAAAAUAUUUGAAAAAGAAGCAUUUCCAGAAUCUUGGAAGAGCUCGUUGGUAGUGCUGAUACCUAAACCAGAUAGUAAGGCACAAUUGGGCUUCGGACUCUUCAGAACUUGUGAGGAUAAUUUGACCACGCUCACUACUUCAGUAAAGACGAGUUUCUUGAACCGAUCUCCCACAGUCGCGGUCUUCUUAGAUAUUGCGGAGACGUUCGACAACGUGAAUCUCCAUAUUCUUAUAAACGAUCUGAGUGGGAUCGGUGUUCCUGCCUCAUUUAGAAAGUUUGUCGAAAAUCUAAUUAAUGUCAGGCAUCUCAGCUUUGUCAUAGAUGGGGAACUUCAUGAUCCGUACAACUUUUAUAAAGGAACUCUUCAGGGAUCUAUCCUGAGUCCUUUACUUUUCAACAUAUAUUUAAGGUCAUUUGACCAACAUUUACAUUCUAACAUUCGCUUUUUGCAGUACAUGAAUGAUAUGGUUUGUUUUCUUUUGCAACAUGAUCUGAACAAAGCUUCUAUCCAGAAUUUUUUAAACAGAAUUUUCGAAUAAAAGAUACAGAAACCUUGAGAAUGUAUUCGCAUCGCUUCCUGGGAAUCAUUUUGGAUUAUAACUUUAGCGGCAAGCACCAUCUGAAGUAUCUCAUCGACAAGGACAGAAAGAUCUCCGAUAUAAUCUCAGUCCUCUCGAGAGUUAAGUGAAGCUCUCACCCUGGAUUUCUCACUAUAUAUAGAGCUACAUUUCGCAAUACGAUCGAGUAUGGAUGUCAUUUCGUGGAACUCCUCAGCAUCGGAGUUUAUCAAGCUUCGACGCCUUCAAUAUAAGCUAUGGCCAAUAAAUUCAGUCUGGCAUACAAUGCACUGGAAGAACUCAAAAUCAUCGCUAUUAGAAGGAACUGCAAGACUGAAGCCAUCAAAAAUUCCAGGCUCUUCAGGCAUUUCGUGAUUAGUCGUCAUGAGAAGCAAAUCGUUCAUCAUACCACAUACCCACCAGCUUUUUGGCACACUUAUUAAGUAUUCUACUUUAGAAAUUUCAUACAUCAAGGACAUGCAUGGCUGCGACAAAAGGGACAAUAUCACCCAGAUUUUUAUCACAAAUCUUCUUCAUAUAGGCAGAAUGCCACCGCUUUUUAUAUUGACGGCUCGAAAAGAAUGAUGUUGUCGGAGCUGAUGUUUUCUUGCCUGAGAUGAAGAUUGGACACAAAUUAACGGAAACGUCAAUUUUUUCCGCAGAAUUUUGGACCAUCCAUCAGGCCAUUCUUGCGGAUCUCGAUCAACAACACAAUGUCAUCUUUUUCGAUUCUGAGAGUGCACUAGAGGCGAUACAGAAUUCAGUAAGAGCAUAGCGCAACUACAUUUGUAAGAAAAUUCCCGAGGAUCUGUAACCACCACUGCGUAGAUGGAGAACCGUUGUCGAAGGCUCAUAUUCGGAGCUAAUUAGCGCUUGACGCGAUUCGAACGAUCUGCGAAUGCACCGGUACUUCGGAGCACGCGACGUGAAAACAACUCGAGAGAACGAUUGUAACGAACAAAGACAGACAUUCGUGAGGAGUAGUCAGCUCCAUUUGCGUUUCGUUAUAAUAAAAUUAUAUAGUGUAAGAAUAAAAGUAUUUG